CUUAACUCUGUCUAGGCAGUAAGUACAUGGUUUUCCUCAUAGUUACAUAGUAACCAUGACAAAUAACACUUUACCAUAAUAAAUGUUCUUUCCUUUCCCUUUCAGGACUCUGCAGACAGUGGGCCCAUCCCAUGCCCGAACCUACACUGUGGCUGUUUAUUUCAAGGGAGAAAGAAUAGGCUGUGGGAAAGGACCAAGUAUUCAGCAAGCGGAAAUGGGAGCAGCAAUGGAUGCGCUUGAAAAAUAUAAUUUUCCCC
rnacentral:sRNA from 1 species